rnacentral:rRNA from 1 species
CUACGUGCCAGCAGCCGCGGUAAUACGGAAGGUCCGGGCGUUAUCCGGAUUUAUUGGGUUUAAAGGGAGCGUAGGCUGGAGAUUAAGUGUGUUGUGAAAUGUAGACGCUCAACGUCUGAAUUGCAGCGCAUACUGGUUUCCUUGAGUACGCACAACGUUGGCGGAAUUCGUCGUGUAGCGGUGAAAUGCUUAGAUAUGACGAAGAACUCCGAUUGCGAAGGCAGCUGACGGGAGCGCAACUGACGCUUAAGCUCGAAGGUGCGGGUAUCAAACAGGAUUAGAUACCCUGGUAGUCCGCACAGUAAACGAUGGAUGCCCGCUGUUGGUACCUGGUAUCAGCGGCUAAGCGAAAGCAUUAAGCAUCCCACCUGGGGAGUACGCCGGCAACGGUGAAACUCAAAGGAAUUGACGGGGGCCCGCACAAGCGGAGGAACAUGUGGUUUAAUUCGAUGAUACGCGAGGAACCUUACCCGGGCUUGAAUUGCAGAGGAAUUAUUUAGAGAUA